rnacentral:rRNA from 1 species
UACAACAUAGCGUUAAUGCAUUGGAUACCAUUAUAGAUUCACAAUUAAGUGCACUCAGGCUAGAGUAGCACUGGGAUGGGUGACUGCCCAGGAAGUCAUAGUGUUUUAC